rfam:Picea glauca, whole genome shotgun sequence.
AACAAAUCAUUGCGGUGGUCCCUGCGGAUGUUGAAGCAAUGUGAUUUAUACCUAUUUCUCUGCAUGUGAAAGUAAAUAAAUUCAACUAAUCGAGGUUAAACGGUGGGAGUAAAUAUGACUCUCUUAAGGUAGCUAGAUGACUCACCAUCUAAUUAGUGAUGCACAUGAAUGGAUUAACAAGAUUCCCAUUGUCGCUAGCUACUAUCUAGAGAAACCAAAGGCAGUGGAAUUGGCUUGGAAGAAUCAGCAAGGAAAGAAGACCAUGUUGAGCUUGACUCUAAUCCGAAUUUGUGAAAUGACUUGAUAGGUUUAGAAUAAGUGGGAGUCAUUUUCAGUGCAAGUGAAAUACCACUACUUUUAAUGUCAUUUUACUUAUUACUUGGGGUGGAGAUAGUGCAUUGCACAUAUGUUAAAAGAUAAUUCACAUUUCCUCAAAGUGUUGUCAUUGAUGGAAAUGGUCGAGAGCUCAUUCUUCAUGCACUUGAUGGAAAUGAGGUUAGGAAACAAAAGAUGAUCAUUUCUUUUAAGAAUGAAGAAAGUUCCUACAAUCCCUAUGCUUUUAGCCAACAUCCCCCUAU